UUGAAACCCUAACCUCUCUUCCCCAAAUCGCAGCGCACAGAACUGGUAACAACCCUACUUUUUUUUUCCUUAUAUCUUUCCUUUCUAGUGUAAUCUUUUGAAUGAAAUUCAUUAUUGUUCUAGAAUUUUAGUUUGUUGAUCCGUGUUGGAGCUUAUUUUGAAGAGAUUUGUGAAGUUUGAGUAGUUUUGUAGGUUAUGUUAUGUUAUCUACCUCUAUUUAUAUUCUAUCUAUACAUUUGUGUUCCCUUUUUAGCUGUUUAUGAAUCCUAAAUCGAUAAUGUGUUGGAUUUUGCUAGAUAUAUAAUGUGUGGUCCUUUAUGUCAGAUUUUGAUAUAUUUUUUAGGGGUUUAUGAGUAUCUCAUGUGGUCUUUUAUAUUUGUUGGUUGAUUUUGAUAUAAUAUAUGUAUGUGUGUAUGAGUGCAUUGUUAUUCCUUCAAUUCAAUAAAGUUUUCUUUUAAUCUUCGUUUAUGGCUUAUUAUUAUUAUUAUUAUUAUUAUAUUAUGCCCUUUUUAUACUAGUAAUUUGAUAGGUGAUCUUUCAUUCUUAUUUCUUAUAGAUAGCUUUACAUUUUAAAGCCACUAAAUUUAAGUUUAUUGUAGUUCUAUUGCUUAAAUAAGUCUCUUGAAAUCCCAGAUGGAUAUGUUUUUUUUAUGACAAAAGUCAUGUUUGUUUUUUAAUUAUUCAACGUCUUGUUUUUAAUUAUCUGCAUAUUAGAGAGUUAGAUCUUGAUUAAGCAAAUAGUUGGUUUUCCUGCAUAUUUUCUGUUGAACAUAACUAUAAGUGUUAUAGUUAAUAUGCUUAUUGAUAGCAAUUGCGACCCGUAAUUGCUAGCGGUCGUCCGUCGGUACAAUCAAGUUAAAGAUGGCUAUACGGUUUGGCAUCGUAUGGGUCCGUCCGACCAAACCAAAAGGCGAUCCGUGACUCGCUUAAUGCUUAUAAUUCUGCAAACCCACAAUCCAUUUGGCGCCAAAAGACUACAAGCAUAUUGUGUUUUAUGGAUGGACACUUGAUUAAUCAUGUCAGGUUGAUGUAGUAAGAAAAUACUAUAUAUCCACUUGCUACUCUUAUACAUUCCCUAACAUAUGCUAUACAAAAAUCAUAUAAGUACACUAAUUUUGGUUCCUACGUAGAUAAACAAGUCACUAUACUGUAGCUUUUUGCAACACAAAGUUAUCAAAUGUAUGCUUAACUGUGGAACAAUCCAGUAGUUUAUAUUUUUGCCACACAAUAAUGUUACGGGCACCAUAAACAAAAUGCAUGCUCUAAGUUUUGUUGCCUGACUUUGACGCUGAUAUAAUUUUCAAAACUGCAAUUAUUCUAGGAAGAACUUCAGUUAUUUCACUUGGUUUUCGGUGCAAAGGUCAGGUAAGUACCCACACAUUAUGUGUUCUUUACCUCCUUUUGCUUUUAAUUUGAUUCUGAAUUCCUACCUAGUGCCCACAUGAACUAUAUGCUAAUUUGAAUCUGAAUUCCUACGAAUAUCUUACAUACUUUGAACUAUGCUAAUGUUUUCAUCUAGAUACUUAACGAUUAGACUAUUAUUAAAAAGUUACAUAGACAAAUUGGCUGCUCAAUUGUUGUUAGUUUGAUCUAAAUUUGAACUGUAAUGUGAUUUUAUAUCUGUGUAUAUUAAUUUUGUUAUCUUACACCAUUAUAUUCUUCAUAGUUAUUUGUUUACAUAUUUUGAAGACAAAAUAUUUGGAGGAAAAUCAGACUAAGGAGAUCCGCGUAGAAAAAGAGACGCACGAGGAGAUGCUUUUGACGCGGAGUAUACAAAGGCUCGUUAUGUUCGUCAAGAUAUUUAAGAUAAGUAAUAUAUUGGCAUGGCACUGAAAGCAAAGGAAAGAGAUUACAUAGCUGCAGAACAUGGGAUUGCACUUAAAAACAACCGCAAAAGGAAGCUGAGCAAAAGGCUAAAACGAAACAAGUGAGAACGAGUAGCUCAACGCAAUACUGAACUCAGGUAUGUAUGCAUAGUGUCAAUUUUUCACCAGAAUCGCCACAACGCGCUCAGACUAUUUAUCAUUGCACAUCGCACUUUAAACUCGUCGCGUAGGGCUGGCAACGACACUAGUGGUAAGUUGAAGAGUUAGCUAACAAGAACUAUGAUGUCCAGUUAGUUGAUCUGUGGAAAGCAAUUUCGUAGGUGAACAAUCCUCUAUGAAGGGGUGCAACGUGCGGGCUGAAUCCGCUAGUUUAAUGAUAGUAGCUAGAUACGAUUGGAUUAGUUUUGUAUUGUAUUGUGUUUGAACAAGUUUUGUAAACUAUGCAAGUUAUAAUGUAAUUAAACAGGUU
rnacentral:lncRNA from 1 species